GUGAGAGGCAGCAGUGCGCUAAUGUGCAACAGGAACAAAACAAAAGAAGAAGAAAUAAGGACGGUGAGCAUGCGCAGCAAGCAAAGUUUUGAAGCUGCAUCGAAUUUGCUGAAACUAAGAAGUAGAAAGACUGUUUACAUUUCACCUCUGGACAAAGAAUGAUUGAUUACUUCUACACAAUAAUAAUAAGGAAAAAAGCUUGUGUCAGCUGUCUUCUCUGAGCAGCGGUCUUGUGAUCACCAGCCUCAGUAUAAUAAAGAUUUGACAGAACUACACACCCAUCUGAUGCCUACCUGUUUUAAUUCAUGAUCCCCCCGGAUACUUCUACAACUAACCCACCUUGGUGUCUGAUGCUGAUGCAGUCUGGGCACUAGUAUCUGUUGGCUUGCUGACUAUCACUGACGAUGAAGUACUUCUCCAAAUCUUGACCCAGUGUCUUCUGCCAUCAUUGUUCAGGGUAGUACUGCAAAGAAUAGUCUCCAGGGUUUGCCUCCAACAUUUGCUUCCCGACCACCAUGUGCUACGUUUGCAUCACUGCUACAUGUGGGUUACCCUGAUACUGUGAAGAGCACCUACAAUAUGAUGCUUGACUUGGGACAGAAAAAAAAACAUUGGCAACUUGUGUGGCCAACUCAUUGCCGUAUUUAAAAUCAUUGUACCGCUACCUCCAUUGUUUAACAUAACUAAAAGCAGAUUGUUUUUGCUUUGUUUCAAAAAUUUUGUAAUACGAGUUAAAAAGUAUAUCAU